UACGUAGGUGGCAAGCGUUGUCCGGAAUUAUUGGGCGUAAAGCGCGCGCAGGCGGUCCUUUAAGUCUGAUGUGAAAGCCCACGGCUCAACCGUGGAGGGUCAUUGGAAACUGGGGGACUUGAGUACAGAAGAGAAGAGUGGAAUUCCACGUGUAGCGGUGAAAUGCGUAGAGAUGUGGAGGAACACCAGUGGCGAAGGCGACUCUUUGGUCUGUAACUGACGCUGAGGCGCGAAAGUGUGGGGAGCGAACAGG
rnacentral:rRNA from 1 species